CAAAUCAUCCUGCCCCCUAUUUUCUUCCUCCCACCUCCCCAUCAAAAUCCCUCAACCUAGCCACCAUUAGCCACCAUCAUCCCAACCCCCCCCCCCCCUCUUCCCGAUCCCAGCCCCCUUUGCAUCUUCCAAACCCUGCCUUUUCUGUACUGCCUCCAUCAGCCGGAAUAAGGACAAGGUAGUGGUGGACGUGGAGGAGGGCCGCCGUCAGAGGGAGGAGGAGAGCUUCCAGAAGAAGCGCCGCAAGGGCAUGCAGGCCCAGCCCUUCCCCCCCUCCUCGAUCCACACCUCUGCCCUCGAAAAGAAGGUGAUCUACUUUGCCCUUUUGAUCUGUAGUUCUAGGAUCCUGGAUUGCUAGAUCGGCUCGACUGAUGGGUUUGCUAGGGUUUUUCUAGUUGUAGGUCUAGGGUUUGGGAUUUGGAGCUCACAAUUCUUUCUUGUUUUGCUGUGAAUUUGGAGUUGGAGAACCUAGGAUUUUGUGGUACCUCUUGUCAAGGAGUGGGGAGGAGGAAGAGCUCAAGGAGUGGGACAAGGGCUUCGUCAAAAUAGAGAAGCAGGAGCUGUUGGAGAUUGCCAUAGUCGCCCCCUGCCUCAACUCCCAGCCGCUGUUCGAUCUCUACUGCCAGGCGGUGGCCAACACCAUCAAAAGGGGAUGCAUUUGUUUUCCUGAGAGCAGCAAAGCAUGAUUCCAAUAUCAGUGAUAUAUAUCGAGCCAGAGUAUGCAUCUUGGAGUGCUUGUAACUGCAUCGCAUGCUAUUUCAACUGGUAGUUUAUUCAUCGUCUGCUACAAACCAAGGUUGGAAAUGCUCCUUCAGUUUGUCACCAGGAGGCCUGUUUGCUCCAAUUGUCUUUUUUUGUUUUCGUUUUUGUGAGCUGAUGUAAUUAUUUGCACAAACUUGUGCCCCGCGUCUAUGUUAUUCAUCGUGGGUGUUAACAAAUACUUGGAAGCUGUUAAGAACGGAUUCACGGUUGGGAUGAGAUGCAGAAUGAGAUUUGAGGAUGUCCAGUUUUAAAAUGAGA